GUUGGAAGCUUGAAUCCUUCCUUUAGCAAAUGCACGGUGUCAUUUAUGUGUUAAACAGUUGAACAAUGAUCGGGAGAGUGAACAACAGUUAUUUAAAAUGAAACUACAGCUGAACCGCUCAACAGCGGGUUGAUGAGGAGGUUGAAGCUGUCUAAACAUGUGCAGCCAUACUGCAGUGUGUAUUGUGGUUAUUCAAGCAGCAUACUGUACUAUUGACUGUCUUUGUUGUGGAGUCUCUCUUUGAGUCUCAAAUUCAAUCCAGACCAUCAAUUUUACCUUGGACCUGAACGGUAAGAAUUAUUACCUGCCUGAGAAAUCAAUCAACUUAAGACUUCCCAUCAUGUUACUUAGCUUCUUGCCACAUAAGUUGAAUUAACUAUAGCUAGCAAUCAGACUCAACAUUCAACACAAUAUGUUCUGUGAACGUCUCCGGAAAGUUAUAGCCUAAACGUUUGACAUGGUAGGCAAGAGAUGUCACAGCUUUAUGCAUAGCCUGUCUGACAUGUGUAUCCCAUUCAACCUGGCUGCAUUCCCCUGGAGGGUUAGUAGUGUGCUUAACUGUUUUGUUAGAUUACUCACUCUCACUGCUUAACACAAUGACAAAUAACCAUUCUUUUUUUCUUGCAGUGAUAAUCCGGACAAUUUAAACAUUUCUUACAAGCAGAAGUGAAACCAUUAAUCCUGUGAGAUUCUUCUGAUAAGUGGUGACUGUGAAGUAAUGGCCAUGUCGCCUAUAAAAAUAAAAAUAUGUGGACAAUUAAAACAAGAUGGACAUUAUCUGGCAAGUCCCUACUCCCCUUUUCUUUAGCAGUGUUGUAAUUGAUCUGUCCCUUUGUUACUAAACUGAAUAUUGAGUCGUGGCUUUUUGUUCAUUAUCUGUGGAUUUUAACAUGGUGCAUAUUUGUCAAGUUCGAAAAUCAUGUAAAAAAAGGAAACCAGUGAUUCUUUUCUUCACAUAUACAAAUGCUGUUCUGAAGAAAAGUCCAUUCUCAUGUCACCUGCUAAAGUUUCUGGCUAUAAUGUGUUGCCCUUUCCAGGCACCCCUGUUGUUUAGUUAUUUGAAAGUACUUUGACAAGCUGCAGUAUAUGACAGGAGUAUAUUGUAUCUGGAAUUAAGUCCAUUCCCAUUUAAUUGUCCUUAAAAACUCUGUCAAACUUUUGCUCUGGGAGUUUGCUUUGCCCUAGAAAAUCAAUGUGACAUGUUUGGGCUGGGGGGGGUAAUAAUCUGGUUCCCUGACCAUAGUGAACACCCUAAUUUCUGUGGCUUGGCAAAGAGAUUUAGUGUGUUGAAUUAUGGUAAUUAAAGGUUGAAUUAUAAAAGUU
ensembl:lncRNA